rnacentral:rRNA from 1 species
AGUGGAGCCUGCGGCUUAAUUUGACUCAACACGGGAAACCUCACCAGGCCCGGACACCGGAAGGAUUGACAGAUUGAGAGCUCUUUCUUGAUUCGGUGGGUGGUGGUGCAUGGCCGUUCUUAGUUGGUGGAGCGAUUUGUCUGGUUAAUUCCGAUAACGAACGAGACUCUAGCCUGCUAACUAGGCGUAUUUCGACAUCCCGAAGGCCCGCCGGUAAUGCGGGGUUGGGGUUUCGGCCUCCCCCCUUAUCGCGCGCGGUUUUUACUGUCGGCGUACAAACAAUUCUUCUUAGAGGGACAGGCGGCAUUUAGCCGCACGAGAUUGAGCAAUAACAGGUCUGUGAUGCCCUUAGAUGUUCUGGGCCG